GAAGGGCAGGGCAGAACUGCAGGCAGAGAGCCAGAGCCCCUCAGACUCCUGGGAAGCCCCGCACCCCGACCCUCCUGGACCUCAGGGUGUCCUGCCUGCUAACGGGCAGCCAUUCUCCCCACAGAGGGCCACCGAGGGGCCCGGGCCUUCCUGCCCACACAUGUCCCAGGGCAGCUGCUGAGCCCAGGGCUCCCCUCCAAGCCACCUUCCACCUGCACGGACUGCCCCACUUCCUGUUCACACAGCCCUGCAGACAGGGAAUCUCCGCCUCUCAGGGCUUCCAUGCAACUGGACGGAGACACGAAAAAGGAGAAUCAAACACUGUCCAGUGGUGAUGAGGACGAGGGAGGGACCAAGUACUGGGGAUCAAACCUAAGGGUACUGUAUCACAGAGCUGCACCCAGCCUUUUUGAGACAGGAUCUCACUAAGUUGCCCAGGCUGGGCUCAAACUCGCAAUCCUCCUGCCUCAGCCUCCUGAGCAGCUGAGACUACAGGAAGCUGAUGGAGGCCAGUGAGUCACAAACAAGACACUCAGGUGAGGCUACCUGGAGGGUAACCCAAGGACCAAGACACUGGGGUGCUCACAGAGGCCUCAUGAGGCAGUGGCACCAGAGUUUUGUAAAAAGAGCAGCAAA
ensembl:lncRNA